AGUGUACCGCGGAACAGUGGUUAAAAAACACUGGAUUAGAGAAACUGUAUAAAAAAGUUUUGCUUGUCAGCGAACACUCUUAUUCUGAAGGGUCAUAUUUAUGUAUAACCCAUGUGACUAGCUUCAGCCAAUCGGGUUGCUGCGUUCUCUGACGUUCUCUACACUCGUAGCUGACUUGCUGUCUAACACUGAGUUUUUUGCUUGAGAAGGAGCUUCUCGCAUUAUUUUUUUUUCCUCACCCUGACUGCGUUCGGGAUCAUCUUGUGUGUGUUGUGGAACUGGACUUGGCUUUUUUUGUGUGUCUUUUUUGGGUUUUUUUUUUCGUUCGGCUGGAAUCUGGACUAAGGAGUCAAGGAUCAUCACUGAAACGGAUCUUCCUAAGGAGAACGA